CUUUUACAAUGAAGAGUUUGAUCCUGGCUCAGGAUGAACGCUAGCUACAGGCUUAACACAUGCAAGUCGAGGGGCAGCAUUUUAGUUUGCUUGCAAACUAAAGAUGGCGACCGGCGCACGGGUGAGUAACACGUAUCCAACCUGCCGAUAACUCGGGGAUAGCCUUUCGAAAGAAAGAUUAAUAUCCGAUGGUAUAUUAAAACCGCAUGGUUUUACUAUUAAAGAAUUUCGGUUAUCGAUGGGGAUGCGUUCCAUUAGUUUGUUGGCGGGGUAACGGCCCACCAAGACUACGAUGGAUAGGGGUUCUGAGAGGAAGGUCCCCCACAUUGGAACUGAGACACGGUCCAAACUCCUACGGGAGGCAGCAGUGAGGAAUAUUGGUCAAUGGACGAGAGUCUGAACCAGCCAAGUAGCGUGAAGGAUGACUGCCCUAUGGGUUGUAAACUUCUUUUAUAUGGGAAUAAAGUAUUCCACGUGUGGGAUUUUGUAUGUACCAUAUGAAUAAGGAUCGGCUAACUCCGUGCCAGCAGCCGCGGUAAUACGGAGGAUCCGAGCGUUAUCCGGAUUUAUUGG
rnacentral:rRNA from 2 species